rnacentral:rRNA from 1 species
AUACGAAGGGUGCGAGCGUUAAUCGGAAUUACUGGGCGUAAAGCGCGCGUAGGCGGUUGGAUAAGUCGGAUGUGAAAGCCCCGGGCUCAACCUGGGAAUUGCAUUCGAAACUGUCCGGCUAGAGUAUGGUAGAGGGAAGCGGAAUUCCACAUGUAGCGGUGAAAGGCGUAGAUAUGUGGAGGAACACCAGUGGCGAAGGCGGCUUCCUGGACCAAUACUGACGCUGAGGUGCGAAAGCGUGGGGAGCAAACAGGAUUAGAAACCCUAGUAGUCC